AUCCAGCUCAGGGUGACAUCCAGCUCAGGGUGACAUCCAGCACGGGUCCCCUCUGGCCCAGGGUCCCAUCCAGCCCCUGUCCCUCAGCAUGACACGGCUGGCGCGGCGCCAGCCUGGGGACCGGCACCCUGGGGGCCACCAGGGCACCAUCGCCGCGGGCAGGAUCAGGCCCAGCUGGGGCUGGGACCCCCCCGGGGUGGGGGGGGGGACGACCCGCUGCCGCCUUCCCAGGAGGACGAUGCCGGCAAGGGGCUGCCAACGGGCCGGGAACGCCGGGGCCACCAGGGAUGCCGGAGACACCAGGGAUGCCAGCGACCUCGGGGACAUCGGGGACGCCGGGGACAUCGGGGACAGCAGGGGCGCCGGGUGGAAAGUUACCGUCCCACUGCACUUUCCAGGUGGCCAAACGCCCGGCUCCUCUGCCAGGCUUCGCUCCCAAAAAACACUACUGGGCAGCGCUCCCGUUCCGGGCGGGUUUUGGCCCAAAAGCGAAGGCCGAGAGCCGUGAGAAGGGAAGGCGAAGCCRUCCUGGCUGCCUCGUCCCCGCGCCGGGCGUUUCGGGGUGAAAAAGUCCUGUUUUGGGGGCUUUCCCAGCGCAGGGGUGGCCGAGCGCGGAGCGGCGGUGCUCUGCUCCGGGCCGCCCUGCACGCCCGGCCUCACGUGCACACGCACGUGCGCUGCUGCACACACACACGCGCGCGCUGUGCACAAGCAAACACCGGCACGUGGGUGUGCACGUGCGGUCAGCCCCACGCACACACACGCACACACACACACACACACACACACACACACACACACAGCGUGCGCUCCCCCGCACGCACAAGCGCAAAUGCACGCACGCAGCUUGUGCGCACACACGCGCGUGCUCACAGACGUUUGCACGCUCGCACGCGUGCACGCGCACGUGCUCACAAAUGCGUGUGCACACACACAGGCGUGCUCACAAGCGCGUGCACACUCGCAUGCACGCGGAAGCGCUGCCCUCACACGUGUGUGUGCACAAAGGCGUGCACACUAAUGCGUGUGCACACGCGCGUUCACACCUUGCACCCCCAUGGCUGUGCGCACACCCGGCAGCGCACAAGCGCACGCACAGGCAUUGCACACUCACCCGAGCGCACAGCCRCGCGUCGGACACAGGCGCACAGGGACGCACACCAGCGUGCGCGCGCACACACACACAGAGCACUCACACUCGCGCACACCCACGCACGGACACGCACACGCGUGCCCCCGCCGCGCCGCUCCGCGGGGGCCUCACAGCGCUGCCGCGAGGCAGAGGAGGAGCAGGAGGAGGAGGAAGAGGAGCGCGGGGCGGGCGGGGCGCGGGCCGCCGGAGCAGGGCUCGCCGCAGGUGCCGUCUGCGGAGAAACGGCGGGGGGAGACGCUCAGGCCGCAGC
rnacentral:lncRNA from 1 species